GAUGAAGAACGUAGCGAAAUGCGAUAAGUAGUGUGAAUUGCAGAUUUUAGUGAAUCAUCGAAUUUUUGAACGCACAUUGCGCCCCUUGGUACUCCAUUGGGCAUGCCUGUUCGAGCGUCAUUGGUACAUUCAAGCUCUGCUUGGUGCUGGGCGCCUGUCCCGUUUUGCUGCGUGGACUCGCCCUAAAUCUAUUGGCCGCUCUCUUGCCAGCCCCCAGCGCAGCAGAAUCCGUGCUCUGGUGGGUCUUGGACAGGGUAGCAUCCAGCAAGAUUGUUUUUCACGCUUGACCUCGGAUCAGGUAGGGAUACCCGCUGAACUUAAGCAUAUCAAUAAGCGGAGAA
rnacentral:misc_RNA from 1 species